GGGGGGGGGGGGCGGGGGGAGAACAGGUAAGUGAUGACAAUUAUAAUCAUUUGAAAAGAUGAGAAAUACAUGGUAAUGAGGAACUGCUGGUUGACAAGCACUAUUUUUUUUACAUUAUUUUAGGUUUGAGCAUUAAGAAGGAUGUAAUGAGAGAAAAGACUAAGGAGCUGAAAAUGAGAUGUCAACACAAAGAAAACUUAAACAAAAGAAAAAAAUAAUUAUGUAAGUAAGUGUGUGAAACAUGAUAAAGGUGAUGUCAAAUGAGAAUGAGGUAACGUGUGUAAAAUUUUCAUUUUGUUAUUUAGUUCUUGCAUGCCUACAACAUGUCCAAUAAUUGCCAGACGUGUCCACUUCUGAUGUCUAGUUAGCUUCUGGGUUCCAUCACUGGCAACUUGUAUCAUGCUAAUGAAAACUGAAUGUUUUAAGAAGAUUUAUCUGAUUUAGAAGAUUAUAUUUUCUCUGUGAAUGAAGUUCGAAAUUUGGAGUUCCUUAACUUAUAAAUCAGAAAUAUCAUCUCAGUGUAAGUUUUAAGUUGCAGGUUCAUGUGGCUGCUGAGGGGCUUCCUAGUGGAGCUACUUCUAUUCCCUAAUUUAGAUCAAGGCAUGAUGACAAAAAUAUAGUAAUUAAAGGCAUUUUGUGCUCUCCAUUUCAUUUCAACAGGUAUACUUCAGUUACAACUGUGCAACAUUACUGCUUCACCCACAGCUGACAGCGUUCAACAAAGUCACUAGCCUUAUGCCACUGGUCUCCAAGGUUGCCUGAUCUAAUUCUAUAUGACUUCCAUUCCUAAUGCGGAAACAUUUUUAGGUCACUCUCGUGUGUGUGUGUCUCUAAACAGAAUAUUAAACCUAUACUCAGUCCGUGGGCUCAUACAUACUCACUCUCUAUUAGUCUGUGAGCUCAUCUUCAAACAGUGUUUUCUUGGAGCAUAAGCUCAGAGUAAAGCCUACUUCAUCAUAAUGUGAGUUUCACAAACUAUGUCUAAUGUUGACUGGGUGGAAUACUUAAUUGUUUACACUGCUUGACAACUGCUGCAGAACAACUUGCUAUGGAAUACCCAACCAACGACAGCAAAAGGAAAUGUAGAGGGCGGAACUUGUUAACCACAUCCAAGCCUGUGCAUGAACACACUGUCUGCAUUCAAGACCCAGCAUGCAACAUGAUAUCUGGCAAAGGUUGUUGUGGAACUGGUUAGUGUAACAUUCCAGUUUGACUGGCCACAGUAACUGGUAUGUCCAAAAAUUGUCAUCUCAAGAUUAAAAAAGGCUGCUUGACAUGGAUGUGCUAUGUGAAAGCAUGGCGGUGGUGUAGAUGGGUCAAUACACAACAAGAGGAUCAAUAUGUACAUCUAGUAGCGGAAAGGAACAGAUAUCUCACACCUAGGCAGAUUGCUGCAGACCUUUCAACCACUAUUGGUACACAUGUCAUUGACAACCAUUUCACAGUGAUUAAAUAAGGAUGGUUAAUAUGCUCUGAAGCCUGUCAACUGCCUUCCACACUUCUAUCACACCAUCAUGAAGAAAGGGUUUGUUGGUAUGGGGAGUUUGAGGGUUAAGGUCAUCAACAGUGGUCCACAGUGAUGUCCUACAAUGAGCCCUGCUUUGCUGUGAUGAGGGAUUAAGGUAAAGGAGGAAGGAUAAAGGUAAAGGAGGAAGGAAAAGGAUUGGUAAAGUUUAAUAAAUAGGGAGAGUUACAGAAAAGUCGCUCAGAACCCCCCGGUCAGGUGAGACUCAUCAGAUGGGAUGAGAAGGUAAGGCACUUCUGGGGACUGCAGUGGAUGAGACUUGAAAGCCUGAGUGCUUAACAGAGGAAGACAGGGUAAUAAGUAAGAUGAAAAUUACUGACAAAACAUACUGCAAGAAUUACUAAGAGCUGAAAGCAAAGUCAUUAUAUGUGGUAGACAGGUGGAUUGGGGGUAGGGGUAGGUGGAAUACUAACAGGCCAGGAAAUAAAAGAUAGAGAAAACUAGAAGUUUUAAUUUUUCCUUGCAAGUUAUUCUAUAAAUAAAGUUCGUACCUGAAACAAAACUUUUUCUUGCCCAUUCUGAACAUUCAUUUCUUAGGUCCUAAUAGGACAGUUGGUAAAUGCUCCUUUCCACUGAACACAGAUUGUGAUUUCUAAUUCUCUACCACUGGUACAUUCCUGUUUACUUCUGAAUUCUUCCAUUCUUCCAGUUGUAACAAUUUGGUGGUAGCAUUCAGCAUCAACAAUUCUUACAGUCAUCAAGUUCAAUAAGAUCCAACACAGAUAAAGUAACACGUAUACGUAUAUCUACAAUUAAACAUGGAAAAUAAUUUGCAAGGGUAGUUACAACUUACAUCAUCUUAUAACAGAUUUGCCAAAACCAAUGAUAUAUUACUUACCCACUGCUCCAGAGGAAAUAUAGAAAGGUACAACAGCGAGGAAAUAAAUAUUAGAGUAGCACUUCCAUUUGAUCCUGAUCAAACAGAGUGAUAAAGGAACAAACAGUUUUUAGAUGUUGUAUUAUUAGGCCUGGUAUAAUAGAUACAAUAAAUAAAACUUGAGGUCCUCACCCAUCAUCAAGUACGAAGUGAGUGAUAGCAGGAACUCAUCUUGCAGGUAGAGUUAGUAGCAAGACAAUCUGAAAGGAACAUUGUUUUAUUUGCCAAACAUGCAACUACAUAUCAUUCUUUUCACAUACUUUAUUUUGCUAAGGCCUCAUUACCCUGUGCACACAAUUACAAAUAAUUUUUAACUUAAUUCUGAAUGUGGGAAGUACGACACACAAAAUAACAGCUGUAUCAGAUUUAUUAUUACAGUUUCUCAUACAAUACUUGGAUAUAUCACAAUCCCAUUAUCAUACUCAGGACAACAAAAUAACAGACAGGCAGUGUGAAGAUAAUAAUGUUACUUUCUUUUCACUCCUUAAUUGCAGCUCUUUUCUUUGUUAUGUAACAUCACCACAUGGGGGAAUCUUAUAUAGUCCUCUCAUCCCCCCCCCCUUUUCUCUCUCUCUCUCUCUCUCUCUCUCUCUCUCUAUCUAUCUAAUAUCUUUGCACACAUGCACAGACACCUAGCAUUGAUAACAGGCUUUACUUACAUUUCAAAGUGUGUGUGUGUGUGUGUGUGUGUGUGUGUGUGUGUGUGUGUGUGUGUGUGUGUGUGUGUGAGAGAGAGAGAGAGAGAGAGAGAGAGAGAGAGAGA